GACAGCGCUUGGCCUCCCUUGUCUGCCCCCGGAAUUCUGGCUUCCCUUAACUCUGAGCCCAAAGCACCUGGGUUCCGGGGCCUCUCCCUCAAUCUCCAGGGAGCACAGAAGCCCUGAGCAGAGCCACUGCCCCCGAGGGAGUGUGCGGAGCCCACAGCUGUGCCAAGGCGGUGCCCACUCGUUGUUUGCCCGAGAGUGUUAGUGGCCGUCUCUGCGGCGGCAGCUCCUGUCGCACCGCUGUUUUUAUUUUCUGUUCCAUGGCUAAUAAUGUUCUUUUCAUCCCUGGACAUCUGUCGGCUGCUGAUGAAGUGAGUUGGCUGGAGAAAGGGCUGGACUUUGCUCACUGCCUGGGAAAAACAAUCAUUUGAGGGAGAAAUCAAAUGCACGAUGGGAACAGAUCAAACGGCACCUAAAAAAUAAUUGGAGCUGCAGACGCACCCUGGGUUGCAAUUUAGGAAGCCCGUUGCGGAAGCCGUGAUGCCAGAAAGUAGCCCGACUUCCAGGGCUUGUGGAAUCUUCUGGAAGGAGGUGCAAGCCAACUGGCCUCUGUGUCCCUGUCGCUGAUGGGGCACAGCUGUCCUGCAAGGGGAGGCUGAGGGCAUGUACCCUGCUAGCCCAGGGAACUUGGGGAGAGCGGGAGCCAGAGCUUAAUGCUCUCUGUCCUCAGGGGCUGUGGCAGCCAGCAGGGCCGAGAGGGGCGCGGCCAUUAGUCCUUCACUGCAGUCCCGGGGUCCGUGGGUCCAAGAACUUCGCCCUCUAGUGAAAUGGAGUCUGCAUCUGACUUCUUGAAAGUAGUGGGUCCUCACCACCUGCCCCUCCUCUGUCUCCCUGGGACUUUCCCCCUCCUCGGCACUUUCACGCCCCUCCCUUCUGUUGUGGGUGAAACUCUUCACCCAGUCCUGACACAGGGCUGCAGGUUUCCAGGUGAUUCUGAGGCCCGUGGAGGGGAACAGCAACCUCCUGUCUUUGGUGUGAGAUUACGGGAGGGGCAAUGAACUGCUAGUUCCUCUGAACACUUAAGGAGCUGAUUAGAAUUUGGGUGACCCAAAUAGCUUGCAAAAAUGUUUUUUGGAUUGGAUUAGGUAACAUUACGUUUAUAACGAUCUGGAACUUUGACAUGCAUCAGCCUAUAAUGCUGAGGAAACCUAUUAUGGUUUGGCUGUGAGGUGUCCCUCCAAAACGCUUAUGUUAAUGCAGGAAUAUUCAAAGGUGAAGUGAUCAGGCUGUGGGAGCUAUAACCUGAUCAGUCCAAGCUAGUUUGAAGGGUCUGGGAGGUAACUGUGGGCAGGUGGGAUGGCUGGAGAAGGGGGUCACUGGAGGGUCUGGGAGGUAACUGUGGGCAGGUGGGAUGUGGCUGGAGAAGGGGUCACUGAAGGGUCUGGGAGGUAACUGUGGGCAGGUGGGAUGUGGCUAGAGAAGGGGGUCACUGGGGGUGGUCCCUGGAAGGCUGCAUCUUCCCUGCGGCCCCUUCCCUCUCUCUGUGCUUCCUGACCCCACCGUGAGCGGACAUCUUUCCUCCCCUGGUCCUUUCUGUCAUGCUGUGCUGCCUCACCCUGGGCCCAGAGCAACGGAGUCAGCCAGGCAUGGGCUGAGACCCCUGAAACUGUGAGCCCCGAAUAAAAUUUUCCUCCUCUAGGUUGUUCUUCUCUGAUAUCUUGUUCACAGCAACACAAAAGUGGACUAAGACCUUUGGGAUGAAGGCUCCUGAUGCUAAGAGUCACACCUGAGAGGAGAAGAGCCAGGUGGCCAGAUUGUGUCCCUGCCUCCCUGCCAAGAACUCUGUCCAGCGGUGGACACUGCUGAACUCUUUGACUUCUUCUCAUCAACUGAUCCAGCCUUUCUCCCUGGCCACCGCUGUCUUCAAGUUUACCUUCCUUCCUGGUCUGCACAGACUCCAUGAUCCACCACAUACACAGGACCUGGGAAGAUCUCCAAGGUCCUCUGCAUCUGUCACUGGCACAAACCACACUUGGAAACCCUGCCUCCACCUUCCUUGGGCAGAUCCCUGGCCCUGAAUGCAGAUGACAGUAGAUUCUCCAUCACUAGACACGCUUUCUCAACUGCUGAUCAGAUUUCAAAUGGGCACGUGCAGCUACCUCAUGAUUUAUCGCACUUCUCCAGUGGCAUGAUUCCUCUCUUUUCUUGCCAAAUCGCUCACAUCCCAUCUCCCUCCUGUUUUCAUCUGCACAAGCUACUUCACGGUUGGCUCAGGACAGGAGCCAUGAAUGAUGUUCUUGUUUAUGCAGCAAAUAUUUACCAACCAUCCUGUACGUGUGAAGCCCUCUUUAAGGAAGGGUGACACGCAGUGGAGAAGGUGCCUGCGUUCGUGGAGCCGUGGAGCCAUGGAGCCAUGGCGUGGAGGAGCCCACCUCUCACGGCGAAGACAGCUGCCCUGCUCCCGCUGAGCCCCCAUCCCUCCGGCAGUCCUGGGUGUAAGCCCUGCUCAAAGCCUCUCCCUUUCUUCAGCAAUCGUCUUUCUCUCCUGAGUCACCAAGAAACCCAUCUCUGUUGCUCCUGCCAGUGAGCAGAACAAGCUCCAGCCUUUGCAAUGUCGGAAGAACCCCCCUCCACGGCCACGUUUCCCACUCCUCUUCCUACCAAAACUUCAGGAGGAGCCGACUCCCCUCUGUUCACGCUUCAUUCCGUGAGAAUCUGCCUCCAUCUCCAAGGACUCCUCCAAAGUAGGGUCGCCGUGAUCUGUCUGUCUUCACAGGCAAAGGGCACUGUUCUGACCUCGUCCUUCCAGCUUCUCCACUCCAAACCCAUGCCUUCCUUCCGGCAGGGCUUCCUCUCCUGCUUCUUCAACACCUCACAGCUCCGGGUCUUCCCCUCCUUGCUGGGUGCCCGUGCUGGCUGCCACCCUCCUGCUCAGCUCCCAAAGGCUGGUGGCUCCUCAGGGGAUGUGCAUUAUGGUUCCUUCCUUCUUAUGUUCUCUGUCCAUCUUGUGGAUUUGUACCACCCCCCUGCUGAGGACUCUGCAUUUAUCUCUCCACCUCUGACCUCUGACCUCCCCCCCCCACCCCUUGUGCUCCAAUUCACCAACUUAGCUCAAUGCUUCAGGCACAUCAGACGCACUCAGAAGUGGACCCUGUGUUCCCUGCCUCUGUUCUCCCCUUUCUACCAUUUCGCCCGUCUCAGUAAAGCAGAACUUUGUUUCCCUGACCCCCUGCCAAUCAGUGACCGAAUCCUUUAAUUUUACCCUGAGUGGUCACUUCUGGCUGUCCCCGCUUCCAGCCUUUUAGUGCACAUCAUCUCCAUGUUGCAGGGAGACUGGUGGUCUUUAAAGGGUAAUUUCUGUAACAUCAGUAUCCUGCUUAAACCUCCAAGGACCGCCCAUUGGACUUAGAAUAAAACCCCAGGUGCUGACCAUGGCCUCUGUGCCAUGUUUUCUAAGCACACUGGUCGUGUUCAGUGGCAUAGACCAGGCUCCUCUUUGACAUGUGCUUUGUUCUCUUCUCUCCUCCUGUUACCUGGGAUUGCUCAGUAGUUGGUAUCUCCUGGAUCUUUGGCCUCAGGGUUUCUUGACUCCUUUUCCAAAGCAGGGGACACCUCAGCCACCAUGUUUCCAUAUUAGCUCUCUCAUGAUUAGUCCUUGUGAUUUCCUGUGUACUAUUUAGACCAACAACAGUGCAAACAGGUGUUCAGCACAUUUGUUGGAGGAAUGAAGAUCAUUUUCUGAAAACCAUCAGGGAGGUCAGUGUGAAGGGUGGCCCCUCUGAAAGCGCCAAACCUCACGGCCUUCGCGGGAUCACGUGCGUUCUUAGGCUCACCCAGGACUUUGGGGUGGCUUGACUUAUCUGUGAUGUGUUCAUAACUUUGCCAUAUAGUUUGGAGAAAGAGGUGAAGAUGCGUUAUGAAUGUGAAUUGUCAACACAAAGAAUCUUCUCAGAGACAGGGAUAAGAAGCUAAAAUAAAUGUAUCAUUUUAAAUUCCAUAGAUUUUGAAUUUUAUUUUAUAAGUUAAGAGUUUAUAAUAUUUAAUGAUUUAUCUUUAAUCCAAUGUCAAAAAAUCAAAUCAGUCUUGAUCAAAAUCAAGAUCAAUAAAAAUGGAAAAUAAUCACCUAUAAAGAAAUCAGGUAGCUGGCGUUUGCCUCUACCAUCCAGCAAUGAAUUCAGUGAUUAACUAGUA